UUACUUUCUCAAGCGAGUGGCGAACGGGUGAGUAACGCGUGAGGAACCUGCCUCAAAGAGGGGGACAACAGUUGGAAACGACUGCUAAUACCGCAUAAGCCCACGACCCGGCAUCGGGUAGAGGGAAAAGGAGCAAUCCGCUUUGAGAUGGCCUCGCGUCCGAUUAGCUAGUUGGUGAGGUAAUGGCCCACCAAGGCGACGAUCGGUAGCCGGACUGAGAGGUUGAACGGCCACAUUGGGACUGAGACACGGCCCAGACUCCUACGGGAGGCAGCAGUGGGGAAUAUUGCACAAUGGGGGAAACCCUGAUGCAGCGACGCCGCGUGGAGGAAGAAGGUCUUCGGAUUGUAAACUCCUGUUGUUGAGGAAGAUAAUGACGGUACUCAACAAGGAAGUGACGGCUAACUACUUGCCAGCAGCCGCGGUAAAACGUAGGUCACAAGCGUUGUCCGGAAUUACUGGGUGUAAAGGGAGCGCAGGCGGGAAGACAAGUUGGAAGUGAAAUCCCAUGGGCUCAACCCAUGAACUGCUUUCAAAACUGUUUUUCUUGAGUAGUGCAGAGGUAGGCGGAAUUCCCGGUGUAGCGGUGGAAUGCGUAGAUAUCCGGGAGGAACACCAGUGGCGAAG
rnacentral:rRNA from 1 species